GAUGAACGCUAGCUACAGGCUUAACACAUGCAAGUCGAGGGGAAACGGCAUCGAAAGCUUGCUUUUGAUGGGCGUCGACCGGCGCACGGGUGAGUAACGCGUAUCCAACCUGCCCAUCACUUGGGAAUAACCUUGCGAAAGUAAGACUAAUGCCCAAUGACAUCCCACGAAGGCAUCCGAAUGGGAUUAAAGAUUUAUCGGUGAUGGAUGGGGAUGCGUCUGAUUAGCUUGUUGGCGGGGUGACGGCCCACCAAGGCAACGAUCAGUAGGGGUUCUGAGAGGAAGGUCCCCGACAUGGGAACCGAGCAACGGGGCAAAGUCAUACGGGAGGCAGCAGUGAGGAAGAUUGGUCAAGGGGCGAGAGCCUGAUCCAGCCAAGUAGCGUGCAGGAUGACGGCCCUAUGGGUGGUAAACUGCUUUUAGAAGGGAAUAAAGUGGGUCACGUGUGACUUUUUGCAUGUACCUUAUGAAUAAGGACCGGCUAAUUCCGUG
rnacentral:rRNA from 1 species